CCUACGGGUGGCAGCAGUGGGGGAUAUUGGACAAUGGGGGGAACCCUGAUCCAGCGACGCCGCGUGAGUGAAGAAGUAUUUCGGUAUGUAAAGCUCUGUCAGCAGGGAAGAAAGAAAUGACGGUACCUGACUAAGAAGCCCCGGCUAACUACGUGCCAGCAGCCGCGGUAAUACGUAGGGGGCAAGCGUUAUCCGGAAUUACUGGGUGUAAAGGGAGCGUAGACGGUAAGGCAAGUCUGGAGUGAAAGGCCGGGGCCCAACCCCCGGACUGCUCUGGAAACUGUGUAACUGGAGGGCAGGAGAGGUAGGCGGAAUUCCUAGUGUAGCGGUGAAAUGCGUAGAUAUUAGGAGGAACACCAGUGGCGAAGGCGGCCUGCUGGACUGUAACUGACGUUGAGGCUCGAAAGCGUGGGGAGCAAACAGGAUUAGAUACCCGUGUAGUC
rnacentral:rRNA from 1 species